GAUGAACGCUGGCGGCGUGCUUAACACAUGCAAGUCGAGUGAAGCACUUAGGAAAGAUUCUUCGGAUGAUUUCCUAUUUGACUGAGCGGCGGACGGGUGAGUAACGCGUGGGUAACCUGCCUCAUACAGGGGGAUAACAGUUAGAAAUGACUGCUAAUACCGCAUAAGGCCACAGCACCGCAUGGUGCAGGGGUAAAAACUCCGGUGGUAUGAGAUGGACCCGCGUCUGAUUAGGUAGUUGGCGGGGUAACGGCCCACCAAGCCGACGAUCAGUAGCCGACCUGAGAGGGUGACCGGCCACAUUGGGACUGAGACACGGCCCAAACUCCUACGGGAGGCAGCAGUGGGGAAUAUUGCACAAUGGGGGAAACCCUGAUGCAGCGACGCCGCGUGAGCGAAGAAGUAUUUCGGUAUGUAAAGCUCUAUCAGCAGGGAAGAAAAUGACGG
rnacentral:rRNA from 1 species